rnacentral:rRNA from 1 species
AAUCAACGCUGGCGGCGUGCCUCAGACAUGCAAGUCGAACGCGAAAGUCCCCUUCGGGGGACAAGUAGAGUGGCGCACGGGUGAGUAACACGUGGGUAAUUUACCUUCGGGUGGGGAAUAACAGUCGGAAACGACUGCUAAUACCGCAUGAUGCAGCGGCACCACAUGGUGACAGUUGUUAAAGCGGGGGAUCGCAAGACCUCGCGCCUGAAGAGAAGCCCGCGGCAGAUUAGCUAGUUGGUAAGGUAAUGGCUUACCAAGGCAACGAUCUGUAGCCGGCCUGAGAGGGCGGUCGGCCACACUGACACUGAAUAACGGGUCAGACUCCUACGGGAGGCAGCAGUCGGGAAUUUUGGGCAAUGGGCGAAAGCCUGACCCAGCAACGCCGCGUGAAGGAUGAAAUUUUCGGAAUGUAAACUUCGCAAGAACAGGAAGAAUAAGUAGAAGCGAAUACCUUCUAUGAUGACGGUACUGUUUGUAAGCUCCGGCUAACUCCGUGCCAGCCGCC